UAUGAGAGUUUGAUCCUGGCUCAGGACGAACGCUGGCGGCGUGCCUAAUACAUGCAAGUCGAACGCUUUUUCUUUCACCGGAGCUUGCUCCACCGAAAGAAAAAGAGUGGCGAACGGGUGAGUAACACGUGGGUAACCUGCCCAUCAGAAGGGGAUAACACUUGGAAACAGGUGCUAAUACCGUAUAACACUAUUUUCCGCAUGGAAGAAAGUUGAAAGGCGCUUUUGCGUCACUGAUGGAUGGACCCGCGGUGCAUUAGCUAGUUGGUGAGGUAACGGCUCACCAAGGCCACGAUGCAUAGCCGACCUGAGAGGGUGAUCGGCCACACUGGGACUGAGACACGGCCCAGACUCCUACGGGAGGCAGCAGUAGGGAAUCUUCGGCAAUGGACGAAAGUCUGACCGAGCAACGCCGCGUGAGUGAAGAAGGUUUUCGGAUCGUAAAACUCUGUUGUUAGAGAAGAACAAGGAUGAGAGUAGAACGUUCAUCCCUUGACGGUAUCUAACCAGAAAGCCACGGCUAACUACGUGCCAGCAGCCGCGGUAAUACGUAGGUGGCAAGCGUUGUCCGGAUUUAUUGGGCGUAAAGCGAGCGCAGGCGGUUUCUUAAGUCUGAUGUGAAAGCCCCCGGCUCAACCGGGGAGGGUCAUUGGAAACUGGGAGACUUGAGUGCAGAAGAGGAGAGUGGAAUUCCAUGUGUAGCGGUGAAAUGCGUAGAUAUAUGGAGGAACACCAGUGGCGAAGGCGGCUCUCUGGUCUGUAACUGACGCUGAGGCUCGAAAGCGUGGGGAGCGAACAGGAUUAGAUACCCUGGUAGUCCACGCCGUAAACGAUGAGUGCUAAGUGUUGGAGGGUUUCCGCCCUUCAGUGCUGCAGCAAACGCAUUAAGCACUCCGCCUGGGGAGUACGACCGCAAGGUUGAAACUCAAAGGAAUUGACGGGGGCCCGCACAAGCGGUGGAGCAUGUGGUUUAAUUCGAAGCAACGCGAAGAACCUUACCAGGUCUUGACAUCCUUUGACCACUCUAGAGAUAGAGCUUCCCCUUCGGGGGCAAAGUGACAGGUGGGCUGCAACUCGCCUACAUGAAGCCGGAAUCGCUAGUAAUCGCGGAUCAGCACGCCGCGGUGAAUACGUUCCCGGGCCUUGUACACACCGCCCGUCACACCACGAGAGUUUGUAACACCCGAAGUCGGUGAGGUAACCUUUUUGGAGCCAGCCGCCUAAGGUGGGAUAGAUGAUUGGGGUGAAGUCGUAACAAGGUAGCCGUAUCGGAAGGUGCGGCUGGAUCACCUCCUUUCUAAGGAA
rnacentral:rRNA from 1 species